CCUUGAAUUAACAUACACACAAUACUAUGUCUCAGCUGUAGAUUUAAAGAGAAAAAACUUACAGUAAGAUUUAUUGUAUCAAAAAUGUUGUAUCUCUUUCAGCUUGGAUAAGCAGUGACAUAUUCACAGUGCAGAUAAUGUUGACAGAAUGUGAUAAAAUCCACACGCUUAAUAUUAGUGAAUAGGGCUAAAGCCUACAGCCUAAUAUUAACAUGACAUUUUUAUCACAUUACCCUAAAGCCUUAGCACAAUAGCAGAGAUAUGAUAUUGUAUUGAGCAAUAUGGAGCACUCACUCCUACUCAAGACCACCAUUUGCUCACAUACACUAACAGCCCACACCAAUAUACAGAACAGAAGUCAGAUCAUCCUCGUAUCCCUGGGGAAAUUAUAUUUCCACAGGCAAAUUACAUUGAACAAACCUGACAAAUUUAUGGCUGUAACUGUGAAUGAAGUGAAGGCAAGGAGUUAAAGAAUAUGUGCUCUGCCACUCUCAUCCAGAAACAUCAAUAAUAAGUGUGUUGAAGGACAGUUUUGGCUUCAUAAACCUAAAGCAUGUGACAUGGAGCAUGGGAUGACAUUCACAAAUCCAGGGCACUUUUGGUUUGUGCAAGUCAGGGCAGCUAAGGAUCCGAAGCAGUCAGUAUGGCCGACGCCAUCUCAGCGGGGUCUUAUGAGGUCAAAGGCUGCUGUGACAGAAGUGGCGCCUCCUCGCAAGUCCUUGCGUCUCUAGGCGGAGACCCUCCCGCUUCCCCCUGAACUCCAAGGUGUAUUUACCUAUGAACAUGCUUUUUGCAGGUGGUCCAAGGAUACAGUUCAAGGUCACUAUGACCCUUAUGUCCGUCCCAUUCUCGUGAAUGCGAUAUCUCCGGAAUGCCCCAAGGAUGAGAUGAUUCGAUUUUGGUGGUCAAAGGUCAAGGUCACUGUGACACAGCUUAUUGUUCUGUUUGUCCUCCAGGACAUCGAAUCCAGAGAGGCUGAGUUGGGGCAGACAACGAUGGUCAUCUACGCUGUUCGGGUGCCGGUCCAGGAGACAGACAAAUGUUGGCGUGGUACUUGAAGGCGAGGAAGUUCUGCAAGACCUACCAAGUGUCACCCUUGGAUGUGUGAUGCUUUUUGGACUGAUCUGCAUGCUUAAAUUAAGCUACCCCAAGGACAUCAAGUCUACAUUUUAAGUUUUCCAGAAAAUCCUGAUGGAACUGGACCCAUCCAAGCUUUCACCAAAAGUCCAAGCAUUGAAAGUUAAGUUGCUCAAGUGAUUAAACAAGAUACAUUUCAGUGUUUGGAAAUCGAUGUUUUUCUUAAUUACAAAAAUAAUUUCCAUACGUUCUUGAUUAUUUACAAAUCACAAUAUAGCGAUACUAGAGGUGGUCAGUUCUGUGCAUUUUCAAAAGUAAUUUUCACAUGCAUAAUUGUUUAUAAAAAUGUUCUUCCUAUUUGCCUACAACCACUUUAUCUGCUCUCAAUUGCAUUUGAAAGUUGUUCUGUCAUUCAAGAGUUGUAGAAGCCUGGGUUAGAUUGCUUUGAUUUACUACUUAAGAAAAUCUGUCAACCACCUGGUGGUUAGCAACAUGGUUAUCCACUCCAGGAUAACGUUCCAUUUCUCUGUUCAUGAUGAGUUUAUUAAAGCUUUUGACCACUGGCCUUGAUAGGACUUGUUGUAUUUUCAAGAUUCUGUGUUUAACAAUAAAUUG